UUAUAUACUGGAUUUUUCUUCAUACCCACAGCCUUCUACAUGGAAGGUGGUCUUUUGGACCAAUAGGUUCUCUGAUUAAUGUGCUUGAUGACUGAUCAGGUAAUUUGGAAGAAUUUUGGAUAGAAAGCCAGAUGUAUGUUGAUAAUAUCAGUGCUAGGAUAGUAUUGGUUUUGUCAAUGUUUGUCAUUCUAUGCAAUUCUUUUUCUAAAUUAUUUUCUGGUCUCUGUUUUCAAGCAAAUUGAUUGAAGUACCGAUUGGCCCAAAAGAACCGCCCUCCAUGUCGAGGUCUGCAGAACUAUGGAAUUUUUAUGGAAUAUAAAGAAAUGCCUAAUUUGAUGAGGUACAUGUGGUUAGAAAGUUCCCUUUCCCAAAAUAUUCCAUAGUCUGAGAAAAUGUGGAUAUAUCUUCAGUAUAUCCCUUCUUAUUAUUUCAAAUAUAACUAUUUUAAAUGUUAUAUUAUAUACUGGAUUUUUCUUCAUACCCACAGCCUUCUACAUGGAAGGUGGUCUUUUGGACCAAUAGGUUCUCUGAUUAAUGUGCUUGAUGACUGAUCAGGUAAUUUGGAAGAAUUUUGGAUAGAAAGCCAGAUGUAUGUUGAUAAUAUCAGUGCUAGGAUAGUAUUGGUUUUGUCAAUGUUUGUCUUUCUAUGCAAUUCUUUUUCCACAUUAUUUUCUGGUCUCUGUUUUCAAGCAAAUUGAUUGAAGUACCGAUUGGCCCAAAAGAACCGCCUUCCAUGUCGUGGUCUGCAGAAUUUUUAUGGAAUAUAAAGAUUGCUAGUUAGUAUUCAUUAUUUAAUUAUAAUUAUAUAUUUGAUGGUUGUAUUAACUUUAUUUUAUUUUUUUCA